UACGAACGGACGAACGCUGGCGGCGUGCUUAACACAUGCAAGUCGAACGAGAAUCUGCGGAAAGAGGAUUCGUCCAAGUGAAGCAGAGGACAGUGGCGGACGGGUGAGUAACGCGUGAGGAACCUGCCUUUCAGAGGGGGACAACAGUUGGAAACGACUGCUAAUACCGCAUGAUACAUUUGGGUGGCAUCAUCUGAAUGUCAAAGAUUUAUCGCUGAAAGAUGGCCUCGCGUCUGAUUAGCUGGUUGGUGAGGUAACGGCCCACCAAGGCGACGAUCAGUAGCCGGACUGAGAGGUUGACCGGCCACAUUGGGACUGAGAUACGGCCCAGACUCCUACGGGAGGCAGCAGUGGGGAAUAUUGGGCAAUGGGCGCAAGCCUGACCCAGCAACGCCGCGUGAAGGAAGAAGGCUUUCGGGUUGUAAACUUCUUUUAAGAGGGAAGAGCAGAAGACUGUACCUCUAGAAUAAGCCACGGCUAACUACGUG
rnacentral:rRNA from 1 species